UACCGCCACUAGGGAAAGGUUUUGUCAUGCUUUAGUGACUGGCUAGCAACGGCAUGGUGGCUGGCAGUCUAACAAAUUUCUGCGUCCUCCCCGAGCCUUAUAUCUAGUCCCUGACGGCUCAAGCACGGCAUCAUUUCAAGCGGCUGCACCACCAGGUCUUCAUCCUGUUCAUCUAAUAACGGACAGCUGAACGCUGAUUUGUUCAGUGUGGGAACGUAACUAUUGUUGCAGCCAUAUUCAACCUACCUUAUCCAGCAGUGCUGAUGUAUCAGAGUCUUAACCUCCACGACGGGGUGGAGAAGAUGUCACAAACAAAUGACGGUCGGCGUUCAUCGGAGUGUAAAGCCCUAAUCAACAUGAGGGAUUCAUCGAUGCUGAGACAAUGCGACUGGGGAGGUGCCCGAUGAUCUGCUGCCCCGGUGAUGUACCUGCGGGCUUUGAGAAAUACUGAAGGUUUUCGUGGUCGGACAACCGGCCUGGUUUCAUGUUCAACCGCUGCCCCCCUUGUCGAACGGGAUCUCUGAUUUUUCGGCCCUACGGCCCCCAGCAAAUAAUUAUAUAAAGUAGGAAUGGCGAACGGUAGUAUGACAAGCCUUAAUAUCCUCCCUGGUCACAUUGGUUAGCUGUGGACCCUGCUGGAUGCCCUGAGGACUGCAGGGGCUUGCAUCCAGCAAGGGCCAACAAAAACAAACUUAAGAUGAGAAAUAAAAAAUAAAUAAAGUAAAUAAAUAAAUAAAUAAACAAAGAAAGAAAGAAAUUAGAAAUAAACAAAAACAAAAAUAAAGCAAAAAUAAAAAUAAAUAAAAAUAAAAUGAACAUCGAAAUCUAAAGAAAGUUAAAUGAUAUCAUACGGCCGUAUGGGAUCAACUUUAAGCCAUGUUGGUUUGCCCCCGUAAAACGAGGUUGGACCCUCAUCCAAGAUAUGAUUGACA
rnacentral:sRNA from 2 species